GCCGAUUUGAUUCACAAAGACAGUAACAACAGCGAUACCACCAUAACAAGCAAGCAACACACAACGGUCUCACAUAAAAUUAAAAAUAAGUUAUACAAGUACUUGAUAUAUCAUAAUAAAAGAGGCAGGGACAGAUCACAGACCGCAAUCCAUCUAGAUUUUGUCGAUAUCCUCGUCCUCAAACUCGAUAUAAUCAUCGACCCCGCCAUCAUCAUCAUCAUCCAUCCCCCCAACCACACCCUCGUUGAGACGAACGUUGUCAGGAAGCUCACCAUAUGCCUUCAGAAGACGGGCCUCAUCAGGCAUGUACUUCAGGAUGACGUCAGCCUUCUCAUCCUGGUAGUCGCGGAGGCCGACGAGAACGAUGUCGCCGGCGGCGAUCCAGACCUUCUUGUGCAUCUUGCCACGGAUGUGGCAGAGGCGCUUGGAUCCGUCGAUGCACAUGGCCUCCAGGCGGCCGUUGCCGAGCAUCUUGAGGAUCUGGGCGUACUCCUGGCCAUCCUCCUUGAAGACGAGCUCGCGCUUCUCAUCGUCGGCCUCGUUCUUCCCCCGCUUCCGGUUCUUGCCUCCCUUUCCCUUGUUCUUCGGCAUGAUCGGGGAUCGCCGGAGAAAACCCUAACCCUAGAUUUGGAUUGCCGCACAAACCCUA
rnacentral:misc_RNA from 1 species